CCCUUAGAUGUUCUGGGCUGCACGCGCGCUACACUGACGCACUCAACGAGUAUUCUUCCUUGGCAGAGAUGCCUGGGUAAUCUGUGAAUAUGCGUCGUGAUGGGGAUAGAUCAUUGCAAUUAUUGAUCUUCAACGAGGAAUUCCUAGUAAACGCACGUCAUCAGCGUGCAUUGAUUACGUCCCUGCCCUUUGUACACACCGCCCGUCGCUCCUACCGAUUGGGUGUGCUGGUGAAAUGUUCGGAUCGGCCGUUUGUCGCGGUUUCCGCGGCUCGUGGCUGAGAAGUUCAUUAAACCCUCCCACCUAGAGGAAGGAGAAGUCGUAACA
rnacentral:rRNA from 1 species